rnacentral:lncRNA from 1 species
GCCUGGCCUCUGAAGGUCACUCGAGGCUCACUGUACAGCUGUCGCUUGCCAGGCAGCCCGAGAGAGUUCUGGCGAGGGCUGCGGGAAGGAAAGGGGGCGGCGUCCUUCACAGGGAGGGUGCAGCUGACCUCCCUCCCCUUGUGCAGACUGGAAAAGAAUGGCCCAGAUCCUCUGGACUCCUCAGAUGAGCGGAUUCAGAGAGAAGCUUUUGAGAGCGUGCUGGCGGAGACAUUUUUCACAAAAGAGCCCUUGCGGUGCUGGUGUCCGUGGCGUGCCUGGGAAGGCCCACCAACGCUGGCCGGCCUCCAAGCACCCGGGCCUCUGCUCAUGUACAGCUCCUGAACUGCCCUGCCUCUGAGUUACUGUGGAAAAUGAGCUUAUAUAUGAAGAAGUCAGCGAGUGGACAAAGCCAGGCGCAAUGGAUAGCAAAGAUGUGGAAGUCUCCUCGAUUCAAGUUACAAGAAAACCGCAGCAUGGAGUCUGCUCUCAGCUGUUGGGGAAUUACCGAUGCCUUUGACUAAGUCAAGACUGACUUUUCCAGAAUAUCACCCAAGAGAUAGAGCCGUCCCUGUCCAAGUUUGUGCGCUAGCCCUUCAUGGAGGUCAGAGAGGAAGAAACAAAGGCAGCUGUGGCCUCGGCGGUCACAGUGUCAGAACGCACAAGCCCCAUAAAGAGGUUUCACGCAGGCCACCCAUCCCUUUUCAUUCUCCAGCAGAACAGGACAGAGAGCGUUCUGUUCUGCGGAAGGUCUUCCACUCUACAAGGCAAUCCCUCCAGCUGCUUUGCUGUAUUGUGCUGUCUCCUGUCACACUAUGAAUGCAGUGACCUCAGCCAGCAACAGGGAGAACCCCCCUGCCUCCCGAACAAAGGACCUCACGUGAAAUCCUGAGCUCAGAGCUUACAGAUAUGUGUGCGCUUUCACUUUACAUCGGCCGUGACUUCCAAACAACUUCAGGAAACUUUAGGAUCUCUGAGGUAUACUGGAGAUGACAGCAGCGUAGAAUGUUCAUUUGGAUUUAGAACAGAAAUGCUUAUUUUAUAUUUGGCUGCUCCCAAACUGUCCCCAGACUUCCUCUCCAGUGGUUACCCUCCACUGCCCUGGAUGUCCCACGUUUACACUCCACACUCACACCUCCACCUUAACAAAGUCCUCCACUGGGUCAAACCAUACAUCGCUUCGUCUCUGUAGUGAUGACUUCCUGUCCUCUGCUCUGUGGAUAAAGACCCCAGAUAAAGAUGCCUGUGUUGCUCAACUCUUGUAAAUACUCUUGAGACAUUUUGAAAGCAGAAGGAAAGGAGACAGACGGGGAAAAUAAAAGGGAUGGUCUGCUUGUGCGGAAACGUUUUGAGAAUGCCCUUCCCUAAGAGAGAACAGUAAAAGUGAGCAAUACUUCCUGAGCUGUGGGUUCAUAUGGCUGGACUGUGCUGUUUCUCACGGGAGAAGUUCUCGUCUCCCCUGCGUGUACAUCCCUGUUUGCCAGCCUGGCCUUCGGUGUGGUGAUAUCAUGGUGCACUCCCAGGAGGGAAGUGCUUGGUCAAGACUUCUGCUUGGGUUCGACUAUCAGUUCUGGUUUCCUUUAAGGCACAGGAUCUUCCCUUUAAGGCACAAACACCCCCUUGACACAAAGUAAGGGACAAGGGAACUUUAAACCAUUUGGAAACCCAAGCACAAUAGGCUGUAGGUUGUAAAAAGAAAUUACAAAGGUAAUUUUAUCCAGAAGAGGGAGCAGUUUAACUUCUGCAGGGUAAGAUUCAGAUUCACUUUUGUAACUGAACAGGGAAUUUUCUAAAUAUUUUGAAAAUGCCGAAACAUUUCCUGUUGGCAUUUCACAGAAACGUUCAAAGUUCCCUAAUGAUAGUUUCCGCUGUGCUCACUCCGGAGGCUGCUAAGCAACCUCAGUAAUUAGCUCGAUUGAGGAAACGAAACUGUGGGGGACUCAGUUUCCAUGAUAGGGAAACCAGGCAAGAAAUAUUGUCUCCUCAAGUUGC